rnacentral:rRNA from 1 species
UAGGGAAUUUUCGGCAAUGGGGGAAACCCUGACCGAGCAAUGCCGCGUGAAUGAAGAAGGUCUUCGGAUUGUAAAGUUCUGUUAUUGAGGAAGAAUGGGGUUUAUAGGAAAUGAUAGACCCGUGACGGUACUUGAUUAGAAAGUCCCGGCCAACUACGUGCCAGCAGCCGCGGUAAUACGUAGGGGACGAGCGUUAUCCGGAUUUAUUGGGCGUAAAGCGUGCGUAGGCGGUACACUAAGUCCGUUGUAAAAGAUCACAGCUCAACUGUGUAGGGCAAUGGAAACUGGUGAACUUGAAUAUGGUAGAGGCAAGUGGAAUUCCAUGUGUAGCGGUGGAAUGCGUAGAUAUAUGGAGGAACACCAAUGGCGAAGGCAGCUUGCUGGGCCAGAAUUGACGCUG